rnacentral:rRNA from 1 species
GAUGGGGACGAACAGACGGAAACGACUGCUAAUACCGAAUAAGUUCCAAGAGCCGCAUGGCCCAUGGAAGAAAAGGUAGGCCUCUACCUGUAAGCUAUCGCCUGAAGAGGGGUUUGCGUCUGAUUAGCUGGUUGGAGGGGGUAGGCGGCCCACCAAGGCGACGAUCAGUAGCCGGUCUGAGAGGAUGAACGGCCACACUGGAACUGAGACACGGUCCAGACUCCUACGGGAGGCAGCAUG